UUUAUGGAGAGUUUGAUCCUGGCUCAGGAUGAACGCUGGCGGCGUGCCUAAUACAUGCAAGUCGAGCGAACGGACGAGAAGCUUGCUUCUCUGAUGUUAGCGGCGGACGGGUGAGUAACACGUGGAUAACCUACCUAUAAGACUGGGAUAACUUCGGGAAACCGGAGCUAAUACCGGAUAAUAUUUUAAACCGCAUGGUUCAAAAGUGAAAGACGGUCUUGCUGUCACUUAUAGAUGGAUCCGCGCUGCAUUAGCUAGUUGGUAAGGUAACGGCUUACCAAGGCAACGAUGCAUAGCCGACCUGAGAGGGUGAUCGGCCACACUGGAACUGAGA
rnacentral:rRNA from 1 species